CGGACGAACGCUGGCGGCGUGGAUUAGGCAUGCAAGUCGGACGGUAGGGCUUUAUCGUAAGAUAGAGUUUGAGAGUGGCGAACGGGUGAGUAACACGUAGGAAUCUACCCUUAAGACGGGGACAACCCAGGGAAACUUGGGCUAAUACCGGAUGAGAGUGCGAGAGAUUGCAUUUAAAAGGAUGGCGAAAGUUGUCGCUUAGGGAUGAGCCUGCGGUCUAUUAGUUAGUUGGUGAGGUAAGAGCUCACCAAGGCGAUGAUAGAUAGGCGGCCUUAACGGGUGGUCGCCCACACUGGGAUUGAGAUACGGCCCAGACUCCUACGGGAGGCAGCAGUGGGGAAUUUUGGACAAUGGGCGCAAGCCUGAUCCAGCAAUGCCGCGUGCAGGAUGAAGGCCUUCGGGUUGUAAACUGCUUUUGUACGGAACGAAACGGUGAGCUCUAAUAAAGCUUGCUAAUGACGGUACCGUAAGAAUAAGCACCGGCUAACUACGUG
rnacentral:rRNA from 1 species